rnacentral:sRNA from 1 species
AUGUAACUCACAGAUAACUAAAGCAAGCAGGGGCACCAACUAACCACAGGGAGGAAACGAAUAUUUCAGACGCCUAGAACGGGGACCAGAGUGAAAUAUUUUGUGUACAAACCAUGACUUGGUCAACGAACUCGCAUAGUUGGGCGACCGGGUCCGGUGGCAUUGGGUCUCUUUCAUCACCUUAAUCGUAGACCUGGCCAAUAUUGCGGGAUAAUUGCAAAGCUUCCUCCAUGGCCCUUGCUACGUCUGAUUCACAUCGGAAGUUAUUAUCCCCCCUUGUGAACAUUCUUUGGUAGCCGAACAGUGCUUAUGAACGUUAUUGCUGGAUCUGUAAAAUAUAUUUUGAUAAAUUGUAUCGCACUCAUAACCACAUCGUUUAGGUAAAUUGUUUGAUUGAAAUGAAGAGGUAACUCAAAUAAAGGAGUGUUUUGAUUUACCC